GACGUGGGUUGGCGUUACCUCUUGCCGCCCCGUGAUCCCCUAAUAUCGAGAAUUCGCACACCUGAAUUUAAAUACUUGAAUUCGCAGCUUACUUCAGCCCAAUCUUUUCGCCUCUUGGUAAUCUGUCUGAUGGUGGAAAGAAAGAGAGGAAAGAUGAGAAGCCCGAGAAAUAAUAAAACACUUGAUUCUCAGACAGCACGUAUUAUAUACGCAUUCUUCAAAAGAAAUGAUUGAUCGUCGAGUGUGAUUAUAUUAAUUCAAUCGCCAAAGUACUUUCAAUGAUAGCAAUUGAAGAUAGGAAACGAUAAUUGCGGAGGAUAAGUCAAGUGCAUUAAACUGCUGGGAUAAAUCGAAUUAACGACUUAAA